GUUUAACAAUAGGAAAUAUUCAAGAAUAAAUAAAAUAAAAGUUUAAUCCUAACAACACAAAACAUUCCAGGAAUGUAGGUACUACCGUUCUAUUCCGUGAACAUCUAUCUGAUUAAAUUAUGGGUGGAAAGUUACCACAAGAUAUUCUAUGAACAUAGUACAAUGUCUUCCUGGAGGGGUAAAAUUUUCCAUUACAAGAUUUUAAGAGAGGCCAUUUAUUGUACUGUUCAAUUUGCGUUCAUUUUCAAAUUUGCCGCGCGAGUAUCUAUGUAGGGUCUCGUGGUCAUUGUCAUUGGUCAUCACAUUUCAUUUUCAUAACAUAACCGAUAACCUAAAAAUUUAGUAAAGUAAAAAUUUUGAUUGGAAAAAAAUGCAUCGAUAAGGGGGUGUGGGAAAUGGAAAUUAGUGGCUUUUUUGCUGUACUGUCUGCUAGUUUUUGCUCUGGGCUCUGGCUAGAUCUCUUGUUUAAACAAUUUUAAUCAGCUGAAAGUGGCCUACAAAAAAAAACCAAGAAGGAAAUGUAUAGCCUUGUGGCUAUGAAAGGCAAAAGAGAGAUAUAAAAAGUGUAUUGGCUAGUUGGAAGAAAGUCCACAUUGUCCAUGCAUAAUAAGUUAUUACUUUAUCAACAAAUAUCAAGAAGAUAGCAGGGUCACGAGCAUCAACUUCAUAAGUUCAAGAAUAUCGAGGAAAUCCAGCUCCUCGAUACUACUGGGCAAACUAGAAGAUUGAAGAGGACAAAUCCUUUUGAACUAGUUUGAGUGAUAGGUGAUAGUGAAAAACGGAGCAUAGUGCUUGUGUGCUGUGCCUGUGUAUGUUAGAAUAGUGCUAGAUCUUGUUUGAUUAGAUAAGAGACGCUAUGGGGUAAGCUCUUCAUUUUAAGAAACAGUAGUAAUUUAGGUUAAAUUAAAAUUGCUCAUUGGUCAGUUAUGACCAGAUUGUUUUUUUAUGUUUGGCAAAAAGGACUUGUCAGAAUUGCACAUUGAUAAUGUUUUGAUGAUUUCUGGACCAGAAAAAAACUGUUGUAGAUGUAAACUGUAUGUACAGUAGAAUCUACUACAGUACUGUAGAAAUCAUCCAAACAUUAUCGAUGUGCAAUUCUGACUUAAGCCCUUUUUCCCAAACAUCAGAGAAUUGUAAUGUACAAUAAUUCUCCUAUCUGCUUUUUCAUGAAUUUUGUAGGAGACGAAAAACCAUUUUUAGGAUCAUCUGCUUUCACAUGUAAAUUUUGACAUGUUUUGUAGUAAAUAGAUAGUUGAAUUUACUACAAAACAUGUCAAAAAAUAUAUGAAAACAGGAGGUGACUAUAAAAAAAGUUUUUAGUCUCUCUUACAAAACUCAUGAAAAAACAAAUCGGAGGUAUGUCACAUCAGUGACUAAGAAUGUCUAAAAAAUAUACUUUGAUGUCCCAAGAACCAAAUAUAACCUACAGUCCAUCUAAUUUACUUACUGUUGCACGUCAUUAUCUACGCCAGAGAUCUAAGUUGACAUAGUUGCCAAAGUAUAAAAAGAUCCUGAAUCCAUUUUAAAUCAAAUAUGUCACAUAAUUAUUGUAAACGUGGAUUAUACAACAAAACAAAUUAAUAUUCAAUGUAAAUAAGUAAAAACUUAAGAAAUAGAGAACAAGAAUUAAGUUAUAAUCGUUUAAGAUUUGCAGUGCAAGAGUUUUUGCACUGCAUUGUUAAUAAUUAAAAAACGGCUCCGAACUCUUGGCAAAAAGCCGGUAGGUUUCUUUGUAUAAGUAUGUCUACAAUAACAACUAAAAAAGUUGUCAGAUACCUCGAUUAUUCCAAGUCGUUAUAAAAUUAGGUGAAAUUUAUAUUUUUAUAGUAGAGGAUCUUUUUAUAGUAAAGUAAAUAAUAAAAACAGUAAAUAUAAUAAAUAAAACAGAUACUUAUAGUAAAGAAUAUAAACAAAUAUGAAGUGUCAUCACCGUAACUGUCAAAUAAAUGUUACCAAUAGGGCUUUUCAUUCACAGUCAUUUGUUUCGAGCUGCUGUCUUGUGUCACAUAAUAUUAAUAUAUCUAAGUCAUACGUUAUUGAUAUAUACCAAUGAUACAAACCAAAGACGUAUGGCGUAGAUAUAUUAAUAUUAUGUGACACAUGACAGAAGCUCGAAACAAAUGACAGUCGAUGAAAAGCCCUAUUUAUUCUAAAAUGUCACCUUCGUUCGAUUACAGUUACAGUGUGAUCCGAACAAAUCUGCUUCAUAAAAACGCUUUAUAAUCCAUUUAUACAAAUUAAAUGAAACAUAUUAUUGUGUAUUUCUUUAGGUUAACAUUAAUAGAAAUCUUCAAAUAUUAUUUCUACGCGUAUAUAAUAAAAUAUGUCUAGUGGCUGUAAUUCCAGUGUACUCGGCAAAGUGAUUCUAAAAAAGAACACACCUACCGCCUAAAUAUUUCGUGUUGGUAUCAUGCAACCUCACAGGCUACGACGCGGAUGACGCGCAACAGUUAGUAAAUUAGACGAAGUAUGUAGAUAUAUACAGGGUGUAACAAAAAUACAGGUCAUAAAUUUAAUCACAUAUUCUGGGACCAAAAAUAGUUUGAUUGGACCUAACUUACCUUAGUACAAAUGUGCACACAAGAAAAGUUACAGCCCUUUGAAGUUAUAUAUAUAUAAUAGCACCAAGGGUCUUAGAGGCCCAUGGCUUGAAAAGUUUGUUUUUUUUUCUUCAUUUUCACGUUUCUUUAUGUACUGAGAUCUUCUCUGGCUUGAUAUGUGAUUUUUCUCCAUUCCUUCCUGUUAUUCAUUUUUCUUUUCUGACCCUGUAGCACCAUUCUUUCCAAAUCUUUUUCGACCUCUUGCUUCCAUCUAUUUUUCGGCCUUCCUCUUCUCUUUCUUGAAGCUGUAGUGUAGUUUAGUACCAUUUUUGGAGUCCUCGUGUUUGGCAUCCUUUCAAUGUGACCUCGCCAUCUAAGUCUCUGUGCCUUUAUCAUUCAUUUGAAGUUACAAGAUGAAGUGAUUUUUUCCAAUAUAUCGAAAACUAUUAGAGAUUUUUUAUUGAAAAUGGACAUGUGGCAUUAUUAUGGCAGCA